GACGAACGCUGGCGGCGUGCUUAACACAUGCAAGUCGAACGAAGUGGCGAACGGGUGCGUAACGCGUAAUCAACCUGCCCUUCAGAGGGGGACAACAGUUGGAAACGACUGCUAAUACCGCAUACUGAAGGCGGGGAUUGCGUCUGAUUAGCUAGUUGGAGGGGUAACGGCCCACCAAGGCGACGAUCCCUAGCGGGUCUGAGAUGAUGAGCAGCCACACUGGGACUGAGACACGGCCCAGACUCCUACGGGAGGCAGCAGUGGGGAAUAUUGCACAAUGGGCGCAAGCCUGAUGCAGCCAUGCCGCGUGUCUGAAGAAGGCCUUCGGGUUGUAAAGGACUUUUGUCAGGGAAGCGGUACCUGAAGAAUAAGCACCGGCUAACUACGUGCCAGCAGCCGCGGUAAUAC
rnacentral:rRNA from 1 species